AUUGAACGCUGGCGGCAGGCCUAACACAUGCAAGUCGAGCGAGCGGCGGACGGGUGAGUAAUGUCUGGGAAACUGCCUGAUGGAGGGGGAUAACUACUGGAAACGGUAGCUAAUACCGCAUACCAUCAGAUGUGCCCAGAUGGGAUUAGCUAGUAGGUGGGGUAACGGCUCACCUAGUCGACGAUCCCUAGCUCGUAUGAGAGGAUUACAAGCCAAACGGGCACGGAGACACGGUCCAGAGUCCUACGGGAGGCAGCAGUGGGGAAUUUUGCACAAUGGGCGCAAGCCGGAUGCAGCCAUGCCGCGUGUGUGAAGAAGGCCUUCGGGUUUUAAAGCACUUUCAGCAGGGAGGCGGUACCCGCAGAAGAAGCACCGGCUAACUCCGUGCCAGCAGCCGCGGUAAUUC
rnacentral:rRNA from 1 species